rnacentral:lncRNA from 1 species
ACUUGUGCCCAGAGUUUGAUUUUCCACAGACCAGGUAGAGGCCAAGAGCCUCUCACAGACUCUGCAGCAGGGUUGCUAUGAUUAACUCUUAAGUACUCCACAACUACACGCUUUUGAAACUGGCGUUGGCAUAGCGUUAGUUCUGUGCAGGGCGGACGCAGCAGGACAGAAUCUCCCUGGGCAUCUUUUCGGAGCAUCAAUUUUACUGCAAAAUUUUGAAAAAACAAAUUUAAUUGAUUUCCAAGGUUUGUCAAGGAGGACAGAAACUCAGAGCACCCUGCACUUGGGGAUCGGCACUAGGAGCUGCUCUCUGGAUGGGGAGAUGGGAGCUAGCAGCUCACAAUGGGGUCACAAGACAGGAGUGUUAUUGGGAGAAUCCUGUUUUGUUGACAAAUACUGAGAUCAUCCAACUCACCAGGCAAAGUUGACUUGUGUAAGUGAUCUUCAGAUAUGAAAAGUGUGGAACCCAGCUGCUCCUCCUCAGAUAGGCGACAUGACAAUUGUAGGCCUGGAGGGAGAUGAGUUGACAACAUCCCUUCCCUAUAACCACUUGUUGGAUCUGAUCUCACAUACACAGACUCACUCCAAAGACUGACCUGGGUGUCUGCUUCUCAGCUUCAUUAACAGUGGGUGCUCACAAGUCUAGUAACAGGAUCUUCUACACUGUAGCUGCUUCCAGUGUGAGCCAGACAAAUGUACUGAAUAUAGGCCUCAGAGGUGAUCCCACCACCUUCACAGCAAUGGUCCUUCCCCAGGAGCUUCCCCUGAGAAACGGGCCAUCCAGACCAUACUGCUGCUGAAUAAUGUCUCAUUGGAAAUCUCAACAUUCUUCAUUUAGAACACCACCGCCAAUAUCUACCAUAUGCCGGGAUUAUUGUGCAGGGUAAUUUUUAUUAUUACUUGAAUGUAUAUUUAUAUACUGCAGGAACUAUACAUGUUUAUGGCUAGAAUUACUGUUUUUCCUUAAUAUUAAGAUAGUAUUGGUAGAUUUAAUUAUCUGAAUUUAGUCAUUUGGCUCCAGUCAAAAUGGUUUCUCCUUAGCAGUACUCUGACUUUGUAAAAGUAAUCACAUUUGGAUUCUGUUUCCUCCAGUAGUUUUUAAAAUGAUUUUUUUGAUUAUUCAUAUAACUUUUUUUUAAUGAUCUUUUAAAAACUAGUAUGUGGUUAUAUAUUACUUGUUACACUUUUUGUUUUCUUUAUUUUUUGGUUGGUUACACCUUAAAUGAUUAUUUCUAUUGCCUUUUAAUGUUACUUAGAAAAUAUCACAUGUAAGACUUUUGCUUUUAUAAAGUUAGUAAUACAUUUUCAAGCCUAAACUCUUGAAAUUUUAAUAAUUUCUAUGAUAUUUGAAAAUUAUUUUUAUCUUCUUUUGAGUGCUAAAAGAUAAUAUUUGUCUACCUGAUUAACUAGCACAACUUUUAAAAAGUUAUUUAGCACUCUUUAUAUUCAUUCAUUUGUUUU